UGUUCGGGAUACUGUAUCACCAGUACUCCCCCCUCCUCUGCGUAUUAGAUACUUUGGGAUACGUCUUUUAGUACUAUGGUCUGUGUGUCGGACCCUGUACUAUCAGUAUUCCCCCCCUCUUUGCGUGCUGGGAUGUGGAUUUCCGGUGAUGUCCCUGGAUGUAAGAUCCUCUCUCACCAGUACUCCCCCCCCUCUCCACGCCUGCGAGGUUGUAUCUAUGCUUCCACGGAGGUUGUCACGCGCUUUUGCCAACUAUUGUCCGGUUUGUCCUAGCCGAAGCCUACUCCUUGCACACCUGUCCGGCCCGAUUCUCUCGCGGAACCCUGCUUGCCCACCUUGACGCCUUGCCUGCGCUAUCCUUGAGCACUGUUGGGGUUCUCUUCCCUAUGGCGGGUUUUGAGAGUACCCGACCCCCUCCUUUUGUCCGCCUUUCUGCGAUAGGGGUUGAGUGUGCUUCCUCGUCUACCUACGUUCAUCCGUAGGUGAGGACUAUUGCCUGAAUACUUGCCCCCUCCUUUUGCUCGCCUUUUGCGACUGAGGCUAAGUGUUAUUCCUCGUCUACCUACGUUCAUCCGUAGGUGAGGGUUGUUGUUUGAAUACUUGCCCCCUCCUUU
rnacentral:lncRNA from 1 species